rnacentral:rRNA from 1 species
UCGCCGGGCUUCGGCCUGGUUAUUCAUAACCCUUUGUUGUCCGACUCUGUUGCCUCCGGGGCGACCCUGCCUUCGGGCGGGGGCUCCGGGUGGACACUUCAAACUCUUGCGUAACUUUGCAGUCUGAGUAAACUUAAUUAAUAAAUUAAAACUUUUAACAACGGAUCUCUUGGUUCUGGCAUCGAUGAAGAACGCAGCGAAAUGCGAUAAGUAAUGUGAAUUGCAGAAUUCAGUGAAUCAUCGAAUCUUUGAACGCACAUUGCGCCCCCUGGUAUUCCGGGGGGCAUGCCUGUUCGAGCGUCAUUUCACCACUCAAGCCUCGCUUGGUAUUGGGCAACGCGGUCCGCCGCGUGCCUCAAAUCGUCCGGCUGGGUCUUCUGUCCCCUAAGCGUUGUGGAAACUAUUCGCUAAAGGGUGUUCGGGAGGCUACGCCGUAAAACAACCCCAUUUCUAAGGUUGACCUCGGAUCAGGUAGGGAUACCCGCUGAACUUAAGCAUAUCAAAAGACGGGAAGGAAA